UUCACCGCACUGAGCAACUUGAGGAUGUGUCGGUGGGAUCCUUGGCAUCCACGCAUCCCUGAUCCAGUCUGAUCUCUGGGGAGCACAGAGCUGCUGUGCCCCAUGCUCAGGAAAGCCAGAUGCUAACUUGAAAAACAAAAAGAAAAGGAAUCCCAUUUGGAGCCAAGCUGAAGCCACACAGGAGCAACUCAGCAAUACAUAAUGCAAAGGAUUCCAGUGGAUUUGCAAGCAGGAGGAUAAAAUAAGACAGAAAACAGUAGAGAAAAUUCUGGCAUUUCCAUGGAUAUUGACCUUUUAUUCAUGCUACUGCAGGAAUAAUAAUGGUCAGGAACCGGUAAUGUUUAGCUGAAAUCACCGCAUUGCACUUCACAGCUUCCAGUGGAUCCACUGAGGCUUUGGAGAGCUGCUCUUGCUGGACCAGAGUGCUGGCUCCAGGCUGGGUUUCCCACCCAUGAAGGAAAAAAAUGGGCUGAGGAAGGAAAUAAGGCAAUAAAGAACAAGAAAGAUCCAAUUAAUCCCCCAAGAAGAAACAGGACAAAAUGAAAAAUGCCAGCUAAUGCCUACCAGUUCUUCUUCUCUCCCUGCAAGAAUAAUAA